CACCAUGCUUUCUGCCAUGAGCUUCCUACACAGUCCUUUUUUGUGAGCUCACUAAACUCAUCCUUAAAUAAGUCCCCACGUGCAGAACAUUUAUCAGGUCACCCUGAGGUGACCUCAAGAGCUGUCCUCUGAACUCAUCGUCUGGGACUGCCCUUGCUCACUGCACGACAGCCCCCGCGACUCCUGGCUGUGCUCAAACACACAAGGUGUGCUGCUGCCUGGCGUCCUCGCGUGGGACAUCUCUGCCUCCUCUCCCCAGGGAGCAGGUUUCUCUCACUUGCUUCAUGUCUUUGCCUGAUGUGGUGAGUUUUGGAGGAACAUUCACUACCAUCACAUUUAUCAUUCACAUUUAUAAACAACAAAUUGUUUCCUGCAUAACAUAAAAAAAUCUCAGGAUGAUAUGAAGAAGAGGAACAGAAGGGAAGUCAAAGGAAAAAAGUCAACCCUAGAGGGGCCUUACAGCCAGCCCUAGAAGUAAAUGAUUUCAGUGAACAAGCAACCACCAGCCAGACAAGAUCACUCAUAUCUUAGGGGCAACAAAAUGAAUGGUGUAACCACCAGAUCCCAACUUCAUUAGGACAAAGGGACUAGAAAACUCCUGGAAUGCAGAAGUUGUGCAAAGCAAGAGUCCAUGCCAAGUGGUGGGCUCCGGGUGAAUAGCAAUCAAAGCAAGCUACACUGAGCUUGUUUUCUGAUUUGUAAACUGAAGAUAGCAUUUCCUGUUAAUGUGAAUAUUAAAUGAGGU
ensembl:lncRNA